rnacentral:rRNA from 1 species
GGAUUAGAUACCCUGGUAGUCCACGCUGUAAACGAUGAUCACUAGAUGUUCGGACGUAUGUCUGAGUGUCCCAGCGAAAGCGAUAAGUGAUCCACCUGGGGAGUACGUCGGCAACGAUGAAACUCAAAGGAAUUGACGGGGGCCCGCACAAGCGGUGGAGCAUGUGGUUUAAUUCGAUGAUACGCGAGGAACCUUACCUAGGCUACAAUGCCUUUGACAGCCUGUGAAAGCAGGUUUCCCUUCGGGGCAAAGUGCAAGGUGCUGCAUGGUUGUCGUCAGCUCGUGUUG